rnacentral:rRNA from 1 species
UACGGGAAGGCAGCAGUGGGGAAUAUUGCACAAUGGGCGCAAGCCUGAUGCAGCCAUGCCGCGUGUAUGAAGAAGGCCUUCGGGUUGUAAAGUACUUUCAGUCGUGAGGAAGGUGUUAAGGUUAAUAACCUUAGCAAUUGACGUUAGCGACAGAAGAAGCACCGGCUAACUCCGUGCCAGCAGCCGCGGUAAUACGGAGGGUGCGAGCGUUAAUCGGAAUUACUGGGCGUAAAGGGCACGCAGGCGGUUAAUUAAGUUGGAUGUGAAAUCCCCGGGCUUAACCUGGGAAUGGCAUUCAAGACUGGUUAGCUAGAGUCUUGUAGAGGGGGUAGAAUUCCAUGUGUAGCGGUGAAAUGCGUAGAGAUGUGGAGGAAUACCGGUGGCGAAGGCGGCCCCUGGACAAAGACUGACGCUCAUGUGCGAAAGCGUGGGGAGCGAAACAGGAUUAGAUACC